rnacentral:rRNA from 1 species
UACGGGGGGGGCGAGCGUUAUUCAGAAUGACUGGGCGUAAAGGGUACGUAGGCGGUCUAUUAAGUUGAAGGUAAAAGCCCAGAGCUCAACUCUGGAAAACCCUUCAAAACUGAUAUGACUAGAGUACGAGAGAGGAUAGUAGAAUUUCUAGUGUAGGGAUGAAAUAUGAAAAGAUUAGAAGGAAUACCAAAGGCGAAGGCAACUAUCUAGAUCGAUACUGACGCUGAGGUACGAAAGUAUGGGGAGCAAA